AUUUUUAUCCCAUUUGGUAAAAAGAGAGAGCUUUAAUUCUCAUCCUCUCAAUUGUAUUGUCUCGGGUUCGCUAUUUCUAUUUUAUUCAAGUCUCCAAUUUUAAAUAUGUUUUUGCAUAUUAUCCAACAAAUUUAGUAUCAGAGCCAGGUUUAACCCCUUUAUAAAGAACCCAUGGCAGCCAAUAACCAAUCAACCUUUAGUUAUGCCCAAAAUCUAACUCCCCUCUUUACCGGUGAGAGUUAUGAUUUUUGGUGCAUCCAAAUGAAAACUCUUUUUAUCUCACAAGAUUUGUGGAAUAUAAUUGAAGAAGGUUAUGAUGAGCUUGCAGUCCCAAGCAAUUGCAGUCGUGGACGGAAGCAACAAAGAAGGAGUACAAGCAAAACAUCCAAAGAGAUGCUCAAGCACUUCUUUCAUUCAGCAAGGGGUAAGCAAAAGUAUCUUCCCUUGAAUAUCAAAUGUAACAAAAUCUCAAGCUGCAUGGGAAAUUCUGAAACAACAAUUUGGAGGAAUCUCCAUUAAAGUUCAAACUCUUUGGAGAGAAUUUGAUAAUUUAGCAAUGAAAGAAAAUGAAAAUAUCCAAGAAUUUUCUUCUAGAGUGUCUACGAUUAUUAACCAAAUUAAAAGUUAUGGCGAUACUAUUGCUGAUAAAAAACUUGUAGAAAAUAUAUUAAAAUGUUUGCCAGCAAAAUUUGAGCAUAUUGUUGUAGCUAUAGAAGAGUCCAAAGAUUUGAAAAUAUACUCUUUAGAUUAAUUAUUUGGCUCUCUCAAAGCACAUGAAAAAAGAAUGAGCAGGUUUUCUAACCAACCUGUGGAGCAAGCAUUCAAAUCAAAUUGCAACAUCACAGAAAGGAAUUCUGCAACCUCAACAAGCAACUCAACAAGAAGAGGAGGUUCCGUCAGUAGAGGACAUGGUAAUCAAGGCCGAGGUAGAGGAGGAAGAAAAAAUUAUGAGCAAAGAAAUUUCCCGGUGGAUGCAGUAGUCAUAUGACAGGUGAUCCACAACUCUUUGAGAAGAUAGAUAAAAAAAAUUUAUCUGAAGUAAAGCUUGGAGAUGGAAAGUCACAUGAAGUCAAAGGAAAAUGAGUAAUUGCAGUAAACUCAAAAGGAGGUAACGCUAAACUCAUCCAUGAUGUGCUUUAUGUUCCUGGCUUGACAUCAAAUCUCUUAAGUGUUGGCCAGUUACUUCGAAAGAAUUAUUCUGUAAUUUUUGAUGGAGAUGAAAGCACAAUAAUCUAUAAAAAUAAAAAUAUCACAAUGGCAAAAAUAAAAAUGAAUCAAAAUAAUGUUUUUCCUCUUAUUAUGCCACAUGAUGAAAAACUAGCAUUUCAAAGUCAAAAAUUGGAUGAGUCAUAUUUAUGGCAUCUAUGAGAUGGGCAUUUAAAUUAUAAUGGCCUAAAAUUAUUAAAAGACAAAAAUAUGGUUUUAAGCCUACCUCCUAUUGCCCACAUAGAUAAAGUCUGUGAGGGAUGCAUAUAUGGAAAAAUGCAUAAAUUGCCAUUUCUCAAAAAUACCUGGAGAGCAAAAGCAUCAUUAGAGUUGGUACAUUCUGAUAUUUUGGACCAACUCAAACUCCAUCUCUGAAUGGAAGAAGGUAUUUCCUUCUGUUUGUUGAUGAUUAUACCUGAAUGAUGUGGAUAUUUUCUGAAAGAAAAGUCAGAAGCUUUUUCAGUAUUCCAAGAAUUCAAGGUGCUUAUAGAAAAGCAAUUCAGAAAGGCGCUGAAGACACUCCGAACAGAUCGUAGUGGAGAAUUCAUGUCUAAACCAUUUAUGGAGUACUGCAAGAAAAAUCGAGUUCAAAGACAGCUCAUUUUUUGGCACACCCAGCAGCAAAAUGGUGUAGUGGAGCGCAAAAAUAGAACAAUUGCAUAAAUGGCUAGAAGCAUGCUAAAGGAGAAAGCCUUCCAAAUGACUACUAGGCAGAAGCUGUCAACACUGCCGUCUACAUCUUGAAAAGAUCUCUAACAAAAGCUAUCAUGAACAAGACUCCAUAUGAAGCGUGGCACAAACAAAAGCCCCAUGUACAACUUUUAAAAGUAUUUGGGUGCAUAGCUUAUGCACAUGUGUCCUUACAAUACAGAGAAAAAUUUGAUGAAAAAGGAGAGAAAUAUAUAUUCCUUGGAUACAGCAGUGAGUCAAAAGGUUACCGGCUAUACAAUCCAAAAACAACUAGGCUGAUAAUUUCUAGAGAUGUUAUCUUUGACAAAUGAAUAGCGUCGAAUUGGGAAAGCACUCCCAAAAAAGGACCAAAAAUAUUUGAAAAAAUUCCUACUCAAGAUAAGUCAGAUUCUCAACCAAGUCAAGACCCUGGUCCAAGCAUAAGUCGGCAAGAAUCUCCAAACCCAAUCCAAAGAAUGGAUAUAUCUUCAAAUGAUGAAUCACCGCCAAGAAAGGUAUGCUCACCUAUAGAUAUCUUUGAAUCUACUAAUAUGGCAUUUUUUGCAUGUGAGCCUCAAAAUUUUGAAGAAGCAAUAAAAGAAGAUAUUUGGAUUAAAGCACGGGAUGAAGAAAUUGCAACAAUUGAAAAGAAUGAUACGUGGGAACUGGUCGAUAUACCUGAUGGAAAAGAUGUUAUUGGACUCAAAUGGAUCUACAAAACCAAGUACAAAGAAGAUGGAACAAUUCAGAAGUACAGAGCACGGCUAGUUGCCAAAGGCUAUUCGCAACAGCCAGGAAUUGACUUCAAUGAGACAUUCACACCAUUUGCUCGAAUGGAAACUAUUAGAAUAGUUCUCUCAUUAGCUGCUCAAAUGGAGGUACCUAUUUAUCAACUGGAUGUCAAAUCCGCUUUCCUUAAUGGAGAACUCAAAGAGGAAGUAUACGUGGAACAACCUUUGUGUUACACCAUUAAAAAAAAAGAAAACAAAGUUUUACGAUUAAAAAAGGCACUAUAUGGACUAAAGUAGGCGCUAUAUGGACUAAAGCAAGCACCACGAGCUUGGAAUAGCAAAAUUGAUUCAUACUUCAGACAAAAUAGAUUUCAACGAAGUCCAAGUGAACCUUCUUUAUAUGUCAAAAAAGAAGGUACGCAAGAUAUUCUCAUUGUCUGCUUGCAUAUCGAUGAUUUAAUUUAUACUGAUACUAAUCCAAAAAUGGAGAAGAAUUUAAAAGUGCAACGAUGAAAGAAUAUGAGAUGACAGAUCUUGGCUCGAUGAAAUAUUUUCUUGGCAUCCAAGUUCAACAAGCAAAAGGAGAAAUAUUUAUUUCUUAAGAAAAAUAUUUAAAUGAUCUUCUCAAACGGUUUCAUAUGGACAAUUGUAAACCGGUAUCUACACCAAUGGCAUUAAAUGAAAAGUUGCAUAAGGAUGAUGAUGUAGAGAAAGUUGAUGCAAAAAACUACAGAAGUUUAGUUGGAUGCCUCAUUUAUCUAACAAAUACCAGACCAGAUAUUGUCUUUGUUGUUAGUUAUGUUUCUAGGUUCAUGCAUGAGCCAAGUAAAAAUCACCAUGCUGCAGCAAAGAGAAUCCUUCGCUAUCUACAGGGUACCAAAAAGCUUGGAAUUAAGUAUGCCAAAAAAGUAGAUAACAAUCUCAUUGGAUAUACGGAUAGUGCAUGGGUACAAAACCAAUUUCUUGGUCAUCAAAGAAGCAAAAGACCAUGGCAUUAUCUUCAGCAGAAGUAGAAUAUGUAUAUGCCACAGACGUAGUAAGUGAAGCAGUAUGGCUCAAAAGAAUUUUAUCAGAUAUGCAACAUGAAGAAACUGCUCCAACAAUUAUCAGAUGCGAUAAUAUGUCAGCAAUAGCUAUGACAAAAAGUCUAGUGUUCCACAGCAGGACAAAGCACAUAGAAAUUCGACAUCACUUCAUCAGAUAUUUGGUCAAAGAAGAAGAAGUUAAACUUGAGUUUGUCAACACAUUUGAGCAAUUGGCAGACAUUUUUACAAAGCCAACAACAACAGAGAAGCUAAAAGACUUCAAGAGCUUUGCCAAAAUUACAAAUUAAGAGUGGGUGUUUGUAACAGCCCAGCCCAGACCACCCGCAUGCAGAUAUUGUCCUCUUUGGGCCUGGGGAAUCCUCUUACAACCCAGCCCUCAAAGGUUUAAAAUGCGUCUACAAGGGAAAGGUAUCCACACGCUUAUAAGCCAUACUUCGUUCCCCUUUCCAACUGAUGUGGGACUUCAUAAUCCUCCCCCCUUGGGGCCCAGUGUCCUCGCUGGCACACCGACCCAGGUACUGGCUCUGAUACCAUUUGUAACAGCCCAGCCCAGACCACCCGCAUGCAGAUAUUGUCCUCUUUAGGCCUGGAGAAUCCUUUUACAACCCAGCCCUCAAGGGUUUAAAACACGUCUACAAGGGAAAGGUAUCCACACGCUUAUAAGCCAUGCUUCGUUCUCCUUUCCAAUCGAUGUGGGACUUUACAGUGUGAAAAAAGUAAAAUAAUAAUUUGUAAUUUCAUGGCAAAGUAUUUGUAAAAGGAUGAGAGGAUAAUUUAAGUAAGGAAGCAUCAUUGGCCUUAUCCAUUAAGCCACUUUUGUUAACUAAGUGGAAGAGAGGACAAAUUUAAUUUGAACUCUACCAUUUAGAAGAAGUCAAGUUCAGUUUGAACUCUAUCUUAGAAGAAUUCAAUUUCAAUUUGAAUUCCACCGCCUCUUCUCCUCUAUAUAUAUGCAUAUAGGCUUGUUGUAAAACUUGAUCCUAUUUUGUAGAAAGAGAGAGCUUUAAUUCUCUUCCUCUCAAUUGUAUUGUCUCGAGUCCACUAUUUAUAUUUCACCCAAGUCUCCAAUUUUAAGUACGUUUUUGUAUAUUAUCCAACAUAAACUUCUUUCCUUUUCGCUCUCUCUCUCUCUCUAUAUAUAUAUAUAUAUACAUCCCCAUACAAAUACACUAACAACCCCACCUUUUUUCCUUCUUUUUUUUUCUUGUUUAAACAUGGCUAACUUUUCUUGAUCUUUGUUCGCUCUCUAUUUUCAGCUAUUUAGCUAUGUGGGUUUGUCUUUUGCCGAAGAUAUGUCCAUUAUAGACUACGAUUGGAAACAUGGAAUGUCGGUUCCUUCUUCUUCCUCUAAAAGGACCUAGAAGGAGAUGAGAGUUAUGUAUAAGUCAUGGCUUGUUAAGCACGCCAAGGCUUACAAUGCCUUGGGAGAGAAAGAGAAGCGUUUCGAGAUCUUUAAGGAUAAUCUUAGGUUUAUUGAUGAGCAUAAUAAGGAGAAUUAGAGUUAUAAGGUCGGUUUGAAUAGGUUCGUUGAUCAGCUAGGAUUAGGUGUAAAAUGGUAAUUCAAAUGGUGAAAAACAAACAAAUGCAUGAUAAAUGCAGGAUAAGUUUGUUUUCUGAAGAGAUCCUGUCGUAUAGCAUACUUUUAAAUAAUGUUAUAAAUGAUUUGGGAAUAGUGUAGGAAUAGAUGAGGAAUCCAUUUCUUCUGGCGUUGGAUAUUUGGAUAUUUCAUAUUAGUCUUGAAGAUUGCCAACAUAUUUCCAAAUAUUCAGUGAUUGAAAAUCUUUAGGAUCUGUUAAAAAGUAAAAUAAUAAUAAUAAUACUAAUAUAAUUUGUAAUUUGGCAAAGUCGGUUGAGGUGGUGUCUCCUUAAUAUUGAAGAAAUGAUGCCGACACCUAUAUUGCAAUUAAUGAAAUGAAGUUAAGUUGUUUACUUAAAAGCAUAGAAAAUUGACAUGUGUAAAAGAUUGUGUAAAACAUGGGCUUAGGCUUAUUA